AGGUAAGCUACUAAGAGCGAAUGGUGGAUGCCUUGACUGGUAAAGGCGAUGAAGGACGUACUAGACUGCGAUAAGCUACGGGGAGCUGUCAAGAAGCUUUGAUCCGUAGAUUUCCGAAUGGGGCAACCCAAUGUAUAGAGAUAUACAUUACCUAUAUAGGAGCGAACGAGGGGAAUUGAAACAUCUUAGUACCCUCAGGAAAAGAAAUCAAUAGAGAUUGCGUCAGUAGCGGCGAGCGAAAGCGCAAGAGGGCAAACCCAGUGCUUGCACUGGGGGUUGUAGGACUGCAAUGUGCAAGAGGUGAGUUUAGCAGAACAUUCUGGAAAGUAUAGCCAUAGAGGGUGAUAGUCCCGUAUGCGAAAAACAAACCUUAGCUAGCAGUAUCCUGAGUAGGGCGGGACACGAGAAAUCCUGUCUGAAGCUGGGUCGACCACGAUCCAACCCUAAAUACUAAUACCAGAUCGAUAGUGCACAAGUACCGUGAGGGAAAGGUGAAAAGAACUGAGGUGAUCAGAGUGAAAUAGAACCUGAAACCAUUUGCUUACAAUCAUUCAGAGCCCUAUGUAGCAAUACAGGGUGAUGGACUGCCUUUUGCAUAAUGAGCCUGCGAGUUGUGGUGUCUGGCAAGGUUAAGCAAACGCGAAGCCGUAGCGAAAGCGAGUCUGAAUAGGGCGCUUAGUCAGAUGCUGCAGACCCGAAACGAAGUGAUCUAUCCAUGAGCAAGUUGAAGCUAGUGUAAGAACUAGUGGAGGACUGAACCCAUAGGCGUUGAAAAGCCCCGGGAUGACUUGUGGAUAGGGGUGAAAGGCCAAUCAAACUUCGUGAUAGCUGGUUCUCUCCGAAAUAUAUUUAGGUAUAGCGUUGUGUCGUAAUAUAAGGGGGUAGAGCACUGAAUGGGCUAGGGCAUACACCAAUGUACCAAACCCUAUCAAACUCCGAAUACCUUAUAUGUAAUCACAGCAGUCAGGCGGCGAGUGAUAAAAUCCGUCGUCAAGAGGGAAACAACCCAGACUACCAGCUAAGGUCCCUAAAUCUUACUUAAGUGGAAAACGAUGUGAAGUUACUUAAACAACCAGGAGGUUGGCUUAGAAGCAGCCAUCCUUUAAAGAAAGCGUAAUAGCUCACUGGUCUAGUGAUUUUGCGCGGAAAAUAUAACGGGGCUAAAGUAAGUACCGAAGCUGUAGACUUGCGCACAACUUAGAUUAUUUAAGUUUAGAAUAUGAGAAACUAAGUUAUAUGUUUAGUUAUAUUUUUACUGAUUUUUAUAGAGUAAAGAUAGAAAUAAAACUUAGUAAAAUCAGUAAAAAUAUUCUUAGACUAAAGUUAAGUAGUUUAAGUUGUGUGCAAGUGGUAGGAGAGCGUUCUAUUUGCGUCGAAGGUAUACCGGUAAGGAGUGCUGGAGCGAAUAGAAGUGAGCAUGCAGGCAUGAGUAGCGAUAAUUAAUGUGAGAAUCAUUAACGCCGUAAACCCAAGGUUUCCUACGCGAUGCUCGUCAUCGUAGGGUUAGUCGGGUCCUAAGUCGAGUCCGAAAGGGGUAGACGAUGGCAAAUUGGUUAAUAUUCCAAUACCAACAUUAGUGUGCGAUGGAAGGACGCUUAGGGCUAAGGGGGCUAGCGGAUGGAAGUGCUAGUCUAAGGUCGUAGGAGGUUAUACAGGCAAAUCCGUAUAACAAUACUCCGAGAACUGAAAGGCUUUUUGAAGUCUUCGGAUGGAUAGAAGAACCCCUGAUGCCGUCGAGCCAAGAAAAGUUUCUAAGUUUAGCUAAUGUUGCCCGUACCGUAAACCGACACAGGUGGGUGGGAUGAGUAUUCUAAGGCGCGUGGAAGAACUCUCUUUAAGGAACUCUGCAAAAUAGCACCGUA
rnacentral:rRNA from 1 species